AUUAACAAAUUUGUUGAUCUCUUCGAUGACGUAUUUGCUUCUCGCUCACUGGCAGUUGCUGGCAGUGCUCUUCUGUUACGAUAGUAUCAGAUAGUAUUUGUGACUUAUUAAUGUGAUAUUAUAUGUGCAUUUUUGAUAAAAGUAAUAGUGCAAUAUUUGUAUUACAAUAGGUUCUGGAAUCACAGUUUUAUCUGUUGGAAAUAUUUUUAUUAUUCGGCUUUCAGAUUUUUUUACGAUUCCUUGUAAAUAAAUUGUUAAGUAACCGAACAGAAUAUGGAGUUGACUCCGCCAUAUGUUUGAUAAUCUAGGAAAAGCGUGAAAAUUUGUUUAUGGAUAUUGGUCGAUUUAGUGAAAAAUAGUGGCUUUCAGUUCGACACACUUCGGAGUGUAUUCUUUUCUGCCUUCUCCAAACAAAUUUUUUCCCUUAGUAGUUCAACCUACGUAAACAGUGGACUUCCUUUCUAAUCGAAAAUUUUAAAGAUCCUUAUUGACAAGAGCCUUGGGUGUACCAAGGAGCAUGGAAAUGGUCUAUCCAUGAUGUAAUAAUAUUGUGAAGAGGUUUUUCCAAAUGUAUUGUUUUUCCUACUUUGGAUUAAGUUUCAAAGAAGGGCGCUCUCUCCUGGAAAUAAGGAUAACGAUCAGAUGAUGAAGUGGAUUACUGAAGAAUAAGUUUGUGAUCUGUAAUUGUGUACUUCUUGAAUACAUUAGGGGUUGUAAAACUGGUAAGUGAGAAAAAUUUCUCAUUUGCUCCAGAAAUGACCUUAAAGAAAGCACGGCUUUUUAUUGGGAAUGAAGGCAGUGUGUUGUUGCUAAAGGGUGAAUCUAUAACUAGUAAGUAAUAGUACUAAUUAAAAAUAGUCAAUGAGGUCCCACAAAUUUGACAUUUGCAACUUUUAAUAGAAAAUUUUUAAACAGUGUUUCAAUAAUGGCAGAAGCACAACAGCUGAAUUAAUAUAGAACUGAUCUUUUCAUCAGUAUGAAUGUUACUGAUUUAAUUGUUUUAAAAGUGGUAAUUAAUUACUUUUUCUUGCCCAUUUGUAAAGAUUGUCAAACAAAUGAGAAGAAAUUAAUUUUGGUACUGUUGAAACAAGCAAUGCUUUUGAUGUCUUCACCUUGCAGCAUUGAGUAGUUAAUUUUGGCUCUGAGAAUGGGAGACAAUUGGAGAUAUAAUUCGGAAGCCACAGAAACAGCAAAUUAUCUGCAGUGGUUUCUAGAUUUUAUUUUCCCACUAUAGUGGUAGAUUUUAUAACGCUACUUUCUACAGUUAAUUGAGGUGAUAAUACAUGACAUAAUUAAUAUUAAUUUCUCUUUAUUAAUCUGUACUGGCAUUUCUUUUAACAACUAUCUGUUCUCCAUAGUAUUAAUUGAUGUUGUGAUCUAUUACCGGCAACAUCUAUGGAAUUUCGUUUAACAUGUAUCUAUUGUUCACAGCUAAAAUUGAUUAUCGUGCACUAUGGUAUUUCAAUAAUUAUCUAUUGUCUACAUCAUAAAUCGACGUUAUGCAUAUUAUCUAUGGUUAUGCAUCUACGAUUAUAUCUCAUUUGUCAAAUGUGAUCUAUCAUGUCAACUUGACGCUUGUCUCCAUUUUAUAGUUCGCUUGUUUUACUUGCUUUUUGAUGCGUGUUUUUGCGUGUCCUGUAUCUCUUUGCGUUAAUUAGUAGUGUAACUGAUAUCUUUUUUGCCAAUUUCCGCAGAUCGUCCUAUAAAUGAGAGAGAAUUUGUUUAGUUUGGAUACCAAUGGCUAGAUGGGUGUGGUCUUUCGUGGAGUUUAUUCUUUGCUGUUUUGUCCUCAUCUUGCAACAUUAUGCAGUCAAUUUUCAACCGACAAGUGAGAGCAACUGGAGAUUUAUUGGAAUUCCA
rnacentral:lncRNA from 1 species